rnacentral:rRNA from 1 species
GGGGGGGGGGGGGGGGGGGGGGGGGGGGGGCGAGUGGAGGGGGGGGAGAGUAGGAGGGGGGUGGGACGGGUGGCGAGUGGCGGGGGAGGGAGGAGUACCGCGGCCGGUAAUCUGUGGUUGGGGACGAGGGGGGGACGCAUGCGGUGAUAACAAAAACGACCUAGGCGUGGAAGCGGAGCAGCUCGUGAUUGCGCACGAGUGAUGCAGACGAUGUCUGAUUAGCUAGUUGGCGGGGUACAGGCCCACCAAGGCGACGAUCCGUAGCUGGUCUGAGAGGAUGAUCAGCCACACUGGAACUGAGACACGGUCCAGACUCCUACGGGAGGCAGCAGUGGGGAAUAUUGGACAAUGGGCGCAAGCCUGAUCCAGCCAUACCGCGUGGGUGAAGAAGGCCUUCGGGUUGUAAAGCCCUUUUGUUGGGAAAGAAAAGCAGCAGGUUAAUACCCCGCUGUUCUGACGGUACCCAAAGAAUAAGCACCGGCUAACUUCGUG